ensembl:lncRNA
AAAAAAGAAGAAUGCAUGUAGGGGAGUGGCCCCGAAGAGAAAGCAUACACUUCCUAUUUUCACUCCCUUUACUAUGCAGAUAUCUUCCUGAUCCACUUCCUGGCUCUCAGAGUUGUGUUCUGGAAGCCUCCUGUGGAUUUAAGGAAGUUACCUGCUCUUUAGGCAUUUUCUCUGCCAUUUCUGUCUUAUCUUCCCGUCUGUCUUCAGAACCCUUUGACACUGUUGCGAGGGACUGUGGAGAUCACCUCCAGCUCUCUCCUCCCAUUGCUCCAGGCCUUUCCCAUCAUGCCCUAGAGCAAAAGGGUUGUAUCUUGGCUAUGAUUUUCACAUUUCUGUACAACAUCCACUAGUAAAUGAGAAGGGAAUGAGGGUCACGAAGGUGGAUGUGAGUUGCUUAGGGCCACAUUUUAGCCUAGUAGUGGCGUCCUUUCUGUUUGGUACGUGGUGGGCUUGUGUUGCAUUUGAAGCUGUGACAGAGGCGAGGUGAGGCCAUGGGAUUCGUGGAUCCUCAAGUCAGUGUGGCAGUUGCUUUUCGGCCUCCUUGAAGCCAGGAACACAUCAAUUCUCUCAAAAGAGACUGAUUUCUCCCAGGAAAGGAUAUGGGGCUCACUAUCAUAAGAAGAGAUAGAGUGACUGGAAAGGGAUACCACUUUCUUUCUGUACCCAUAAUACUCCAUAUGUUUUUCUAUUAUUUACUGAUCUCAUUUUUAGUACUGGAGAUCGAACUCAGGACCUUGAGCUUGUGAGGCUGGCCCUGUGCCGCUGAGCUACAUCCCCGGCCCUGAUCUCAGGGUUGUAUCACAUUUAUUUACCAGGGGAAAUUUCACAAAUUCCACACAACAUAACUCUCCCACCCUAAGAUCCAGAAUCUAUCCUCUUCCCCUGCCCAGGACUACUGCAGGGAAAUUGAUACUGCUGGGAAUAUUUUGUGUCUGUAAGCUGCUCUGGGAAUGGAUAAACAUAUUGAGAACUUCUCAUUGCUUUUGAGUAGGAGUAUGGCUCAAGAAAAGCAUUGCUUCAAGAAGUUUAACCUGGUGGGGGUGUCCUGAUUGUAUUGGCAGGGACUGGAGUAAAAGAAUCAGUUACGAGAAAGUUGCCAUGUCAGGUAUGCCUUCAUGGACAUAGGGAAAAAGCACAUUGAAAUAAUAAUCAUUGAAUUAUUGAUGGGAUAUUAAGAUGGCUGAGCCCCAGAGAGUGUGGUUUAUGGAUAGAAGAGGAAAAUCUGGGGGAAGAGUGACUCAGAAGUGCAGAGGCUAAAUUAUGUCCUUGGCAACGAUGGUGGUGCUGUAAUCCUCCUCAGGGACAGCCCUUCCUUCAAGGGGUAUUGGUGCAGGGUUGAGAGGGCUUGAGAUACUCCCAAUUGUGUUUGCUGUUUGGAAACCCUCUGGGCUUUUUCCUUGCAAUUCUUCUUCCAGAAAGCCAGCUUGAUGCUGCAGUUAGGGCAGGAGGAAAAAGUUUCAGGUGGGAUCAGCUGGUAGGGGAGGAUGAGAUCUGACCUUCGGUGGCAGCCUGAUGUUUUGGGACCACAGAAACAGGCUCACCCCUGUCUUCCAAGCCUGUGCAUCUGAUGACAGGAGAGACAAUGGGGGCAGUGGGUGGGAACCACUGUGACUUCCUGGAGUUAACAGGGUUGGGUAACACUGAAGGAUGAGCUCUUCCCCGGGGGGCCCAGCCCCGUGCACAGGUGGGGCUGCUCCUGCUGAGUGUGGGAGGGAGUUGUCCCAUUUUGGAUGAGCAGAGGGACCAGCGCCUACUACGCCUGCAUCCUUGAGUUUGGGUCUCUGUCUGCUGUCCUCUCUGUCCUCUCUGCAACAGCCCCAUCCCCGGAAGUCCUCGGCAGCAUCCACGUCUCACCCUACCUCGCUGAGACUUCUUCGCCUGCCGUGAGAACAGACGUCAGGUAGAACGUUUUCCAGUUAGACCCAUCAGUCCAAGGUGUGACUUACUGACAAAGGUGGCUCAGGCUGGUGGAGGGACUUGCAGUGCUCUUUACAUUAAAAUAUGCAUCUUAGGAGCUGGGGAAGUGUAGCUCAGUAGUAGAGCACUUGCCUAUGGUGUGCAAGGCCCUGACUUUGAUCCCUACUGCACGGGCUCAAGAACACCACACACACACACACACGCAUGCACGCACGCACGCACAAUUUGUACCUGUUGUCUGGGUGGAAUAUGGAAUUUUGUGUACUCUGGUGGGAAAAACUAACUUUUGAGAAAAUAUUUUCCCUUAUUAUUCUAACUAAUACAAUGAGACCAAAAGGUUAGCUGUAGCCAGAAAGAGGUGUCGAGGGCUCUGCAUUGCUCCAGGCCUUUCCCAUCAUGUCCUAGAGCAAAAGGGUUGUAUCUCGGCUAUGAUUUUCACGUUUCUGUACAACAUCCACUAGUAAGAUGUGCCCCUUACCCUAAGGAAGCCAUAUCUUAUAGGGCGGAAUGUAGGGGACAGGACACAAAUAAUUACCAGAUAGGAUGAAGAGUUUGAGAAUACAGAUUUAUAUAAAUCAUGUGAAGUACCGCAAAGGGAAACUAAUUUCUGGAGGAUUUAAGGAGAUUCCAUUUGAAUGGGGGAGAAGUGGAUAAGGUAUGGUGGUACAGGCCUAUAAUCCCAGCUACUUGGAGGCUGAGGCAGGAGGAUUGCAAGUUCAAGGCCAGCCUGAACAACUUAGUGAGACCUGUCUCAAAAUAAGAUAAAAAAGAGCUGGGGAUGGGAAAGCCUUCAAUGAUUCUGAUGAAUUUGGGCUUGGUCCCAAUGGAGUAGAUAGGAAAGGAGCCUGGUCAUAAGUUUUUUUGUUUUUCUAUACCAGGGAUUGAACUCAGGACCCAUCGCCUGCAAGGCAGGUGGCAGAACCACUGAGCCAAUCCCCCCGGCCCCUGAUCAUAAGUUUUAGCAAGUUAACUUUAUUGAUAGUGUACCAGAUGGCGUUUAGGGGAUUUGGAGGCAGAGAGAUGAGAAAGGGUUUGUAAGAGUCUGAGCGUGACAUGAGAAUAUCAAGAAAGUAGCAGUGUGGGAUACGAAGGAGAAGAUAGCAGAGGAAUGGAAGCAUUCAACCAUUGGCCACUGCAGGCUGGUGGUGCGGGGAGGUUGGAGAUGGCAUGAGGUUUCUAGCUUUGGCCUUUGAGGAACGCCAGUAACUGAUAUGUGAAUUCAAAGGAGAGCAGCCUUUGUAAGAAAGAUAAUGAAUUCGGGGUGAGGGAGCCUGGGCAGGAGGCACUUGGCCGUCUUCAGGUGUAGAUGUUCCAUUGUCAGUGUGGGUCUGGGAUUCGGAGUGAGACUGGCUGGCUUUGCAAGUCACUGACAAAGAGAAAUCAGGACUUGCUUGUGAUUUUCCUGAUGAGAACCAAGGGUAAAAUACUUGGGAAACUGCAACAUUUAAUGAGAAUCAAGAAAGCUUGAGAGGCAACACUAAAAGGAAAAAGACAACCAGUAGACAGAUGUUUGAAGAAGAUCAAAGAAGAGAUUUCAGGUAGGAUGGUCAGCAGUGCCAAAGAACACAGACUGGGGUGAGAUCUUUUCAGUUUGGCUUUUGAUAUGUAAAUGCUGUGUCUUCUGGAACUAGGGAAUGCAUCCUUUCAAAGGUACUAACUGAAAGUCUCUCAGUGUUUAUGGAUCAUAUAACAUGGGCAUUUGUGGAAGUUAAAGGAAAUGUUGAAACUGAUAUAAGAAUUGAGGAGAGAGCUGAAGGCCAAAGCUCAUCCAUCUUGGGCAGCAGUUGAAGCCUUAGAACAUCUGACUUUUGUGAAGGAAAGAAGGCUAAGACUGAGUGGCAAGAAAACCCUCGAAAUCAGGAUGGGCACAGAGCUAAAGGACUCAGUCAAUGCAGUGAAUGAGGAGGGACCUGGAAGGUUGGAAAAAACUCAGAAGGUGCAGUAUGAAUUGUAGCAUGGGUGAUUCACCUGGCCAAGGCUCCAGAAGAAGGUUCUCCCAGGUUUUAUUUUCAAAUUCUGUAGCGAUUGUGUAGAACGAGGGAAACCAUCUGUGAUGUCAAUACAAGAUCCUGAGAGAUCUGGGAGCAAGAGUUUCCUGGACAGUUUAGGGCCCCAAAGUGGGACUGCUUGUCAUUAGGGAAGGAAAGGGCAGGGAUAGAAUGGAGCCAUUCGUGUAUCUUACUGAGCAGGCAUACAAGAUGACAGAUGGUGAGGAGAGAAUCCAAGGGGGUGUGAAGACACACUUGCUGGGUGUACAGCUCCCUUGGAGACAGGAGCAGGCUGAGCUUUGGAGCUCUUUAGAGGUAUGUAAGAGAUGUUCCUGGGAAACAAGACAGGAACAUUCAGGGAGCUAGAAAAUGAGAUAGGUACUUGGAGAGAGAAAUUGGAAUGAAUAGUGAUCUAAGAAACAGGGAAGCAGGGCCAGGGAUUUAGCCCAGUGGUUCCAGCGCCUGCCUUGCAAGCUCAAGGUCCUGAGUUCAAUCCCCGGUACCAAAAAAAAAAAAAAAGAAACAGGGAACCCUCAGUUAUUGAGGGUUUGAGAAUACAAAUCUGUAUCAUCAAAUUCUUCACCCUAUCUUGUGAUUGCCUGUGUCUCAUCCUCCUAUCUUCUACCUGUAAGAUAUGGAUUUGUUGAGAGAAAGGACCGUAUCUUAAUGAUCUUUGCAUCCUCAGGACCCCCGUAAAACUACUUUAGGUGCAUAACUCACAUUUUAUCAUAGAGAAUUUAUACAGGACAGGUGGUGUCAUUAAACAAUACCUGAAGAAGUCUAUAGUUUAGAAGAAUCGAUGUGGGAAUGUGUAGGAAAGCGAAUGUUGGGGAAAGUGACCUUGAACCUCUGGGAGAAUGGCCCUCGCUGCUCCUAAACUGGCAUUCCAUGCUAGACAUGAGCACUGUGGUCACCAUGAGUCGGUGAUCCACUGACGGGUCACCUGUGGCUAGGGCUGUGGUGACUUUCUGGACCUGCAAAGCUGAAAGGAGCAGAUUCUGGACCACGGCAAGUUUUCCAAAGUAAUUCUAUGUUUGAAAGACCCAUUAAUGGUCAAUCUAGUCUCACUGGCAGACUUUUGUUUAUUACUGAUUCCCAUACCAAUCAUUAGUGGUUUUAAGGAUAACGCAGUAAGCAUUACUUUACAUAAACAGUUGGUAAAAUAAGUUAAUCACUGUAUCUGCUCAAGAAUCGAUGAUAAAAAAUAGGAAAAUAGGGGCCGGGGAUUUAGUUCAGUGGUUCCAUCCCCUACCUCGCAAGCGCAAGGACCCAAGUUCGAUCCCUGGUACCAAAAAAAAAAAGGAAAAUAAUUGUAGAGCAUGUGUAGACUAGAGAUAACAAAUGCCAAGUCUUUCUGCUGCCAUGCCUCUAUACCUACAGCUGAUGUUACUACUUAAUAAUGAAACUCUUUCCUGCUGAACCUAGACUUGCUGCUACAGAAUUCUUUCUUUCUUUCUUUCUCUCUCUCUCUCUCUCUCUCUCGUUUUUGAGACAGGGUCUCGCUGGCCUUGAACUCACUAUGUAGCCCAGGCUGGCCUUGAUCUUACUGAAAUCCUCCUGCCUCAGCCUCCUGAGUGCUGGGAUUACAGGCAUGUGCCACGAUAUUCAGCUUAGAAUUGUUUGUAAUAGCAUUAAUCAAGGAAGCCACAGCCAGCUUCCGGAGUUGGAUCCCUGUGAAUUAAAACUGUGCCCUUUCUAGCUUAGAUAGUUAGGGAGCCUGGCCAUCGGAAAUACAGAACUCGGCUGGAAAGCACCUAAAGGAUGGUUUACUUCUCAAAUUUAAUGUCACGGAGAAAUAUCGUGGUCAGAUAUCAAUGUCAAGGUCAAAAAUAUCCUUUCUGACGAAACGUCUCUGGACAUUCUGCCAGAAAGAAUAUUAUCCUGGACAAAUACACAAAUGGUCGAAUGCACUGAUCUCAGUCAUGAACGCAUUCACUGUCAGGCUGCAACCGUGCUAGGGCUUGCCAGGAAUCUCAGAGGUCAGUGUCACGUUUCCAGCUCCAGCCCCACCUCUUAUGGGAGCUAUGGUAAAUUAUUUAAGCUAUUUUAAUGCUCACAAAAGAAAUAACAUCUGGUUCAUUAAUUGAAGAUCAACAAUGUAGAUGUACAAAUCAUCUCACACGCGGCAUGUACUCAGCAAUGUUAGUUCCCUCUCACUUGUUAAAUAUUCAACACCAAGGAGAACUCCCUUACCAGAUAUCUCUGAUCGCUCCUCGAAUAUUUCUAGUCAUAUAGCACUCAUCAUUUUACAAGCCGUUCCGCUUUCCUGGUGUUUGGACUGUCAAGAAGUUGCCUUUAGAUUAAACUGAAAUCUGCCACACAGACCGUAGCUUUGCUGAUGGAGAGUCGUUUGGGUAUUUGACAAAGUACUAUGGAUUGAACCCGGGACCUUCUCACUGAGCUACAUUUCCAGCCCUAUAAUUUUGUUUUAUUUUUUAAUUUUGAGACAAGAUCUUUCUAAGUAGCUAAAUUGCCCAGGCUGGACUUGAAUUUGCAAUCCUCGUGCCUCAGCCUUCCAGUUACAGGAUUAUAGGCAUGCGCCACCACACUUGGCUGUGUAUUUGCCUUUAAUUCAUUAAAACUGAGGUUAUCUUCAAUAGACUGUGUGAAGACUUACGUGUGGUUGGUGCUCAACAGAUGUGUUGAAUAAAUGAAUAUACAAGUGAAUGAAUUUAUCAUACCAUAUAUAUGUAUAUAUAUAACUAUACAAACUAGAAGUUGUUUUUUAAAAAUUAUACUUCAACUGCUUAAAAUCAUAUUUGUAGGUAUGCUCACUUGAAGUGUGAAAUUGUGGCCGUAAGUGAUUUUUAAAAAUCCUGUAGGUUUUGAAAAUAAAAGUUUCAAGAUGGAUGCACUGUUCCCAGCAGACACGUGUGUCUGUCUGCACUUAGGAGGUGGGGUCCGAGUCAGCAGCUAGGACGGGCCUGUUCUGAGUGGCCCGUCACUCUAUCCUGUGGUUGUGGUGUUUUUCAUGCCUCCCAAGUGCUCCGCUACUGCCAUGCGUGUGACAUCAUCGUCGUCGCUCUGAGGAGCCGAGUCAGGCCAGCUGAGGAACCUGUACCGCUGAGUCGUGACUCAGUUAGCAGAGCCCAAGUCCUGUUCCUGCUCCUUUGGACCCUGUGGGCCACUCCCGAGUCCUUUAAACUGCUCUGAAUUUUGCAAACGCACCAUUGCAUGUGUGUGAAGCCUUGCACGUACUCAAAAUUUUCUUGUAAAUAAUUAGCACACACUAAUUUUAAAAAAGUUCCUGGCAUUAGGAGUGAUAAUCCCCAAGAGUGUUAAGGUUUUCCACAGCCUGUUCUCUGUGUUGCCAAGUGUUUACUGCGUGGUCCUCUCCUCCACGCGGAGCAGCUGCAUUUCAACAUGAGCCUCUUACAGAUCUGAAGGGCUGCGUGGUUUACGAAGUUCUUUCGCUGAAAGUGGCUCACGUGAUUCUCACAACAACUUCUGAUCUGGGGGUAAAUAUCAUCUUUCCCCACCAAAACCAAGGGAAUUAACUAAGGAGAAAUAUUUCAAGGGAAUGGAAUUAAUAUGAGAGAAUGAAAAAAUGGAAACAAAGCCUUUGGAAAUAGGGAGGGAUGGAGGGGUUGAAGGGAGGGCAGGGGAAAGGGGAAAAAUAAGAACCAAGAGAGACUAUGUAAAGGUGCAAAUUUCCAAUGAUGAAUGUCAUUAUACUGUACACCUAAAAUGUACCAAUAAAAUAAAAUUUAAAACAACAUUUCAGAUGGAAAAGAAAAUUGUGCAUCUGUUUUUCCAGUUGGGAAUUGCUUAGGAGUGUGUGUGGAAGGAACAAAAUGCCUGGGAGAAAUAUGC